ACAGAGUAAGGGCGACUGAAAUGUCAAAAGCUCAGCAUGUGAAUCAGCGUUUAUUUUCAUAAAUGCUGAAUUGUGGUCUUACGAUUCUUGCAACACCUAGUCCAGUCCAUGUUUUUUGGAAUAAAAUAGCAAAGAGGGUGAAACUCCUGUUUGUCUGGACUUGCGAAGCAAAAAUCACUGAGUCGAGUUGUUUGGGAUUGCAGCUCAAAUGCGGUGGUAAAUUCCAUCUCAAGCUAAAUACUGGCAGGAAACCGAUAUCGAAAAAGUACCGUGAGGGAAAGAUGAAAAGAACUUUGAAAAGAGAGUGAAAGAGUACCUGAAAUUGCUGAAAAGGAAGCGAACGAAGCUAGUGAUCGCUGCGUCAUACUUUCCACAUUGCUUGCAAUUUGGACGCUGUGGCCGGCCGAGUCCGACUUGAUUGUAAGUUGUGGAAACAGGCAAAGAAAAGAUUUCAUCUUCU
rnacentral:rRNA from 1 species